UGUUGCUUCCUUUUUCAUGCAAUGCUGCUACGUUGCAAAAUUUUGUUGACCCUUCCAAGUAUAUGUAUAGAGAAAUUUAUCAGAACAAACAGCACAUCAAUUCCGCUGUAUUCUUAUUUUAAAAUUUCUGUAUGCAAAUUAAUUAAAGAAGCCAUGGAUGAUAUCAUUAACAAGGUACUCAACAUUAUAAUUCCUCCCAUAUCCCUCACCUUCUUCCUCUUCCUUCUGCCACUCUAUCUCUUUUACAAGUUCCUCCUCUCCGCCGUACGAUCUGUUUUUAGUGAAGAUGUGGCCGGAAAAGUCGUCCUCAUCACUGGAGCUUCCUCCGGCAUAGGAGAGCAUAUGGCAUAUGAGUAUGCUAGAAGAGGAGCUUGCCUAGCUCUUGUUGCCAGAAGAGAAAACCUGCUCCAAUCUGUGGCUAGCAGAGCCAUGUCCAUUGGCUCCCCAGAUAUUCUCGUAAUCCCUGCAGAUGUUUCAAAGGUGGAAAAUUGUAGGCGCUUUGUCGAUGUAGCAGUGAACCACUUUGGGCGUUUGGAUCACCUAGUCAACAAUGCUGGGAUUACUCCAGUCUGCUUGUUUGAAUAGACCACUGAUGUCACUAAAAUAGCACCAGCUAUGGACACAAACUUUUGGGGUUCAGUAUAUGGCACCUACUUUGCCAUUCCACACCUUAAAAGGAGCAGAGGGAAGAUCGUGGGGAUCGCUUCCUCUGCCGGAUGGUUGCGUGUGCCACGACUAAGCUUGUAUGGUGCUACCAAAUCAGCAGUGAUAAGCUUCUAUGAGACGCUGAGAGUAGAAAUUGGGAGAGAAGUUGGAAUAACAAUUGUGACUCCAGGUUUGGUUGAAUCAGAAAUGACCAAAGGCAAAUUCUUAUCCAAGGAAGGCCAACUGGUAUUGGAUCAACAAUUGAGAGAUGUUGAAGUAAGCAUAAUGCCAAUACUGCCUGUCAAGGAGGCUGCCAAAUCAAUCGUGGACAGCGCAUGCCGGGGAGAAAAUUACUUGACAGUACCAGCUUGGGUUUGGCAUUCAUUUUACUGGAAGGUGUUUUUCCCAGAGUUACUGGACUGGUCUAACCGUAUGUUACUGAUGAGCAAUGGGAGCGGUGGCGAGAGGGAUACAAUAAGUAAGAAGCUCCUGGACCUAACCGGCUUGAAGGAGUGUCUGUAUCCGGUUUCAGUUCGAUAGAUAUCCUAAGCUUAAACAA